rnacentral:tRNA from 1 species
GCGCUGGUCACAGCGUUGUGGCUGCCUUCCCUAACACGGAAGAGGUCACAGGUUCAAGUCCUGUACCGCCCACCA